GACAGAGGGGGCAAGCGUUGCUCGGAAUCAUUGGGCGUAAAGCGCACGUAGGCGGUUCGUUAUGUCGGAUGUGAAAGCCCUUGGCUUAACCGAGGAAGUGCAUCCGAAACUGGCGAGCUAGAGUACUAAAGAGGAUCGCGGAAUUCCCGGUGUAGAGGUGAAAUUCGUAGAUAUCGGGAGGAACACCGGUGGCGAAGGCGGCGAUCUGGGUAGAUACUGACGCUGAGGUGCGAAAGCGUGGGGAGCAAACAGG
rnacentral:rRNA from 1 species